UACGUAGGGGCGAGCGUUGUCCGGAUUUAUUGGGCGUAAAGAGCGUGUAGGCGGUUCGGUAAGUCUGAUCGUGAAAGCCCCGGGCUCAACCUGGGAAUGGCGAUGGAUACUGGCUCGCUAGAGUCCGGAAGAGGCGAGUGGAAUUCCCGGUGUAGCGGUGAAUGACGCAGAUAUCGGGAGGAACACCAAUGGCGAAGGCAGCUCGCGUGGGACGG
rnacentral:rRNA from 1 species